GUUUCUGUAGUGUAGUGGUUAUCACGUUCGCCUCACACGCGAAAGGUCCCCUAACACCCUGGUUUCGAAACCAGGCAGAAACA